AGCGCUCGCAGAGCCUCGCUCAGCCGAAGUCGAGGUCUCUCCCGGGCUGGCAGCGGCUGGCAAAGGACCCCAAAAGGGAGGGGGCAAGGCCGCCCGAAGGACCCCCCCCCCCCACGAUCGGCAGAUGCCCAGCGAAAAAAGGUAGCGCGGAGGGAACCCAACUCACCCAUCACGGCAGCCGGGCAGCCCUGCUUGGAUUCCCGCCCCCUCUCUUUAAAUGGGGGGGGGGGCUCCUUGGCUUAACUCCAACGCAGCUCUUAAGAAAGUCCCCCCCCCCAAGCCGGGCAGUUGGGCUCUUUCCCCCCGGGGGGGGGGGGAAAGCAAUAAAAGCCAAUCGAGGAGACUCCCGAAGUGACCGGCGCUGCAAGAGGGAGGCCCGGCCCGGCCCCAGCCAGCCGCGACCCGGAUCUCCGCCCGGGAGAAGGGAACCCACCGCUGGCGAGGACGUGCGAGCGGCUGGCGCGCGUGUUCCCAGGAGGAGGAAGAGGAGGCGGAGGAGGAGGAGGCGGGAGGGUUAACAGCGAGAGAUCCGGUCCCAACUCGCCGGAUCGAAAGAGAUCCAGCGCCGGGGAGAUCCGCGGAGGGGGCGAGGCGGGGACUCGAACCCGCCGCCCCGAAAGUGCAACGGAGCAACUUGGAAAGGAGCGGAAGGAAAAACAACAACAACAAAAAAACCCAUCCGGAGUUUUCUUUGCGUCGCCCGGGAGCUCUGAGUCACUUACAAGCUCGUAAACUACUUUGCUAAUGUUUCCUCUUCUGGAGAAAUGAAAUGCAACAUAUAUUUGAAAAGAACUGGGGAAAUUAACGGAGAAGACGAUAUUACUUAUGUUUUUCUGCUUAUGAUCUGGCACCACAGUUAUUAGGAAUAUCCACAUCCCUUCGGAAACAGACCAGAAGAGACAUUUUGAUUGACCAAAACUGCAGCGUUCAUUCACAAAGUUAACAUCGAACUGUGUUAGCGAGCAAAUGCUCCACUUCAAAACAUGGAAAUGGUAUUUAAUGUGCAUGCACUAAGAUCAAUUAUUAUUUAUUGAGUCCUCCCUUUAAGGAGCUUACAAUGAUGUGGGGUAGAAGAAUCCUGUGGGGUAGAAGAGAAGAGGAAGACUACGGAUUUUUCUUUACCUUUAAGUAGUCUCAAAGCAGCUUACAAACUCCUUUU